rnacentral:lncRNA from 1 species
CUGAAAUGUGAUUGCUCAAAUUUCACUUUACAUAAGUCUGCACCAGUUGAUAUUUAGAAACUUAAUAUUUUCCACAGGUGAAGAAGCUGAGGUAUACAGCAUGUAUUAAAUAGAGUGUGAUAACUACUGUAACACACAAAGCCUUAUUUUAUUGCUCAUGUCCAUGUACUUUAGUGGGCAGUAUUUCCUCUCCAAAUACGAAAAUCUUUUACCUGGAUACCCUAUAUCACAGGCUGUACUUGAUGUUUCCAGUGGGAAAAAAAUCCAACUGCUGCUGAUGCAAGAACAUUGUAUAUCCUCACAAAGGCAAGACUGAUGAUACAAAAAAUAUAAAGCCAAAAGCUUUGUCUGUUCUUUCCCCCUUUAUCGAUAGUUAUAAUAACUUCUCUGAGAGCCGUAUAUACUAUUUGAGUGGAAGAUUUCCACAGGCUUCUUUCGUUCACCUCCAGCUCCCUUAGAUCUUGACGGCUUUUUCUGAUCUCGUAAGAAUAAUUUGGCAUUUAUCCAUAGGAGGAGAUGUUCUGUACCUACAAGUAGAAAGUCUGACUCAAAUAGUUACUUCUAAGGUUGUAUUAUUUUAAAAUCUAAGCUGAAGUUCCCUGGUGGAUUUAACUUUGAAGAAACACCCAAAGCCAAUCCGUUCAAAGCAUUGUGUUCUCCAAGCAGCUACUGUAGGUGGCUGAGCUCAUACUCCAACAAUGUGUCAUCACUCCAGAUGUCUUAGGCCUCCUCUUCUGAAACUACUGUCAAAAUCUCUGGCACAGUUUUCGAAUAUCCUCAAUGAAGAAAAAUCUUAAUCUUUUUUGAGGAAGAAUUGGAUCUUUUGAAACUUUCAGUAGUUUUCAGAAUCUAA